CCUACGGGCGGCAGCAGUGGGGAAUAUUGGUCAAUGGGCGAGAGCCUGAACCAGCCAAGUCGCGUGAGGGAGUACUGUCCUAUGGGUUGUAAACCUCUUUUGUCGGGGAGCAAAAGCCGGACGUUUCCGGCUGUGAGAGUACCCGAAGAAAAAGCAUCGGCUAACUCCGUGCCAGCAGCCGCUGUAAUACGGAGGAUGCGAGGGGUAUCCGGAUUUAUUGGGUUAAAAGGGUGCGCAGGCGGAUUUUUAAGUCGACGGUAAAUUCGUGGGGUUCAACCCCAUCCCGCCGUUGAAACUGGGGAUCUAGAGUGUGCGAGAGGUAUGCGGAAUGCGUGGUGUAGCGGUGAAAUGCAUAGAGAUCACGCAGAACCCCGAUUGCGAAGGCAGCAUACCGGUGCACAACUGACGCUCAGGCACGAAAGCGUGGGUAUCGAACAGGAUUAGAUACCCGAGUAGUC
rnacentral:rRNA from 1 species